GGAAGAAAUUCUAAAAAUACGUUAUGUUCCUUUUGUUGUUGGGUCCAAUUAGACCUUGGAGUUUCAGUUUUUUCAAUCAAGAAAAUACACUUCUUGGAGCUUCAGUUUUUCAACCUCAAUUUUGUUGAGGUAGAGAAGUUGCGGGAAGAGAAAAUGAUGAAUGGCGUCGGGGAAGAGAAGACAGUCCAGUGUGUCGGACUCGCUAGUUCAGUUUAGCGAUGGUUCUAUUUUGUGAACCACAUUUUAGACUCACUAUAUUAGAGGAGCCAGUGAGCCAUUUUUUUCACUGUUGGACUGUAUAGUCUCAUUUAAGUUAGUCCCUCUCUUACCAAACAUGGGUUUUAAGUGCUAUUUAACCCAUUCCAGUCCAGUGAGGCCUACCAAACAUGCCCUAAGAGUACUCAUGUGAAGCAUAACGCAGCAAAGUUGGCCAAAUUGACAUAUAUAUAUAUAUAUAUAAAAAGAGUACCAACUCAAGGCCAUCAUUUUUCCUCCAAUGAAGACUUAUUAAACCUUCCACUAAUCCAGAGAGAGUAGAGGAACCACAGACAACUCAAAUACACCCCAUCAAACUUUGGCAACUGAUUAACAAGUAAUAUCAAAGGCAUAAUACAUGCUCCAUCAACUCUUCCAGUCAACAAAUUUCCCAACCUUAUUGACAACAAAUGAUUAACUGCGUGCCUAUGAGAGUUACCAACUGAUUCACUGUAUAAACCAUCAAGUAUCCCAAAUCUGCCAAAUAAUUGCAUCCUCAAUAAGCAAGUCAAAUCAAUUAUGUAAUCAGACCCCCCACAUAUAGAAAGAGAUAGAAUAAGAGAAGAGGGAAAUUCUUUGUUCCCUGAAAAUUUAAAGAAAGGAGAUAGAAAGAAAGAAGAAAUGGGAAAUCCAUUUGUUCCCUAAUCAGAGAGAUUGUAGAAAGGGCAUAGAAAAGAGUAAGAAUUUGGAAAUUAUGUUGUACCCUUAGAGGUUGUAGAAAGGAGAUAGGAAAGAGGAAGAAUUGAGAAAUUCUUUUAUUGCCUUAGAUAUUGGAGAAAUGAGAUAGAAGAGAAUGAGAAAUGAGAAAUUCUUUGUCCCCUGAGAUAAGAAGAGUAAGAAGAGAGUUGUGACAGAAACAUGUAAAGGAUUGAUCGAUUGAAGAUCUUCUUGUUCUCCAAAGAAGUGGGAUUGAAGAGUUAAGAAUAAAGGUACUGAGAUUUUAGAUGCACUAGAAAAUUGACAAAGCAAAUAACGAAUGAACCAUCAAUAUUUGGUCCAUGGUGAUGUAUUCAAGAACAGGAAGGUGAUGUUAUAGCAAGAACAGGGAGAAGCUACAAUAACUAUCAAAGGUGGAUAGAAAGCUUGAAUCUUUGAACAUAGUAUUUCUCUAAUUAUUGAAAUAAGAGAGAUAGAGGAUGAACAAUAGACAUACCCAAAGAACAUCCAUAGGAUCCAAAUAGCAGGAGUGCAACUAAUAAUCUGAAAUCCACCACAGUUGAGGAAAUAGAACCUCCAUAGACAGACAUGGAAUUGAAGUCAAUAAGUCGAAUCAAUCGCAAAUCAAUGAAGAAUUACGAGAAGCAAAUUUGAAUUUGUAAAUCCCCAAUUCGAAGGCUUGAAAUUAGCAAUCUCAUAUAAAAGCCCCAAAAUUGACAAGCAAUCGAUCAAGAACAUUGGAAAUUCCCAAAACAGUGACAAAACCCUAUUGAGACGUACUCGAAUCAAAUAUGAGAAUGAAAAACCCCAAUAGCGAGCUGAAUAGAAACCCAAAGCUUGAUUCAGUUUGACGAAAUUGAGAAUCCAAGAAUGAUACGGAAGAAGCAGAUAUUGACGUCAAUUUCCAUGGAGGUCAGAAAAGAAUGUCAAGGCAUAGAAAGCAGAAGCAGAAGAACUCAGGAUCGAUCCAUG
rnacentral:lncRNA from 1 species